rnacentral:rRNA from 1 species
AGAACGAACGCUGGCGGCAUGCCUAACACAUGCAAGUCGAACGAGACCUUCGGGUCUAGUGGCGCACGGGUGCGUAACGCGUGGGAACCUGCCUUGAGGUUCGGAAUAACUCCCCGAAAGGGGUGCUAAUACCGGAUAAUGUCUUCGGACCAAAGAUUUAUCGCCUUUAGAUGGGCCCGCGUUGGAUUAGCUAGUUGGUGGGGUAACGGCCUACCAAGGCGACGAUCCAUAGCUGGUCUGAGAGGAUGAUCAGCCACACUGGGACUGAGACACGGCCCAGACUCCUACGGGAGGCAGCAGUGGGGAAUAUUGGACAAUGGGCGAAAGCCUGAUCCAGCAAUGCCGCGUGAGUGAUGAAGGCCUUAGGGUUGUAAAGCUCUUUUACUGGGGAUGAUAAUGACAGUACCCAGAGAAUAAGCUCCGGCUAACUCCGCGCCAGCAGCCGC